rnacentral:rRNA from 1 species
UACGUAGGGUGCAAGCGUUGCCCGGAUUUAUUGGGCGUAAAGGGCGCGUAGGCGGCUCUGCACGUUCGUUGUGAAAUCGCCCGGCUCAACUGGGCGGGGUCAGCGGAUACGGCAGAGCUUGAGCAAGCUAGGGGGCAAUGGAAUUCCGGGUGUAGCGGUGGAAUGCGUAGAGAUCCGGAGGAAGACCGGUGGCGAAGGCGGUCUGCUGGGCAGUUUCUGACACUGAUGCGCGACAGCGUGGGGAGCAAACAGG